AUUGAACGCUGGCGGCAGGCUUAACACAUGCAAGUCGAGCGGGGUGAUGGUGCUUGCACUAUCACUUAGCGGCGGACGGGUGAGUAAUGCUUAGGAAUCUGCCUAUUAGUGGGGGACAACAUCUCGAAAGGGAUGCUAAUACCGCAUACGUCCUACGGGAGAAAGCAGGGGAUCACUUAUGACCUUGCGCUAAUAGAUGAGCCUAAGUCGGAUUAGCUAGUUGGUGGGGUAAAGGCCUACCAAGGCGACGAUCUGUAGCGGGUCUGAGAGGAUGAUCCGCCACACUGGGACAGAGACACGGCCCAGACUCCUACGGGAGGCAGCAGUGGGGAAUAUUGGACAAUGGGGGGAACCCUGAUCCAGCCAUGCCGCGUGUGUGAAGAAGGACUUAUGGUUGUAAAGCACUUUAAGCGAGGAGGAGGCUCUUUUGGUUAAUACCCAAGAUGAGUGGACGUUACUCGCAGAAUAAGCACCGGCUAACUCUGUGCCAGCCGCCGCGGUAA
rnacentral:rRNA from 1 species